UACCUACUCAUUUGUUGAAAACCGGGCCCUGCAUUUAUAUCUGAGUGAUAGAGUCAAAACAUGUCUCUCUGUUGUGCCAUACGGUGAAAUGUGAUGUCCUUCUUCAGCCCACCACAGCUUCACAUCCCAUGUGCUGUUAACUCCUGAGACAGACAAGGGACGGGAGUGAUCCAGGCCAGCGAGGCAAGAUCUCAGUGGAGCUCGGAUGUAUUAGUGGUCCUUGAACAGAGAUGGAAAAUCACCAUGAAGUCGAACAGUGCUGUAUGGUAAGAGCUCACGCUGUGGAGCACACAGAUGGGCUGCUGUUCGUGAAGUUAACCGAGCACACAGCUAUUGGAAACACUUGCUGCUGUGAGGAGCAGGGCAGGUGCCAGUGCCUGUUUAUUCAGUGUUUGCUGAGCAGUAUUCAAGUAGAAGAGAUGCAAAGGUUGAAUGUUCUUAGAAGGUGAGCUGCUUAGAAAAUAGCAUUCUAGAUGUCCAGUGGAAGUUCUUGUUGGAGUUUGAGCCAGUGAUUCCCACAUUCUGCUGAAAAACCAGCCAGGUAAAAAUAGUUACAAAAUUCUAGAAAAAUCAUUA
rnacentral:lncRNA from 1 species